rnacentral:misc_RNA from 1 species
UUGCUCAACUCCAAGAUGUGUGUUGACACUCGCAUACCGAGCAGUUCCUGUCAGAUUCUUGUUUUCCCUGUAUGGUAUAUGCUUGUGAGUCUGGAGAUCCCUAUACUUUUUGGCAAGCCCAAAGUCAAUUGCGUAAACCUGAUUUGCCUUCCGACCUAAUCCCAUUAAAAAGUUGUCUGGCUUUAUAUCACGGUGGAGAAAUCCUCGUGAGUGCAUAUACUCAACUCUAUUAAUUAGUUGAUCUGCAAGCAUUAAAACUGUUUUCAAAGUGAACUUCCUAUUGCAAUAGUUGAAGAGGUCUUCCAAACUUGGUCCAAGAAGGUCAAUGACCAUCACAUUGUACUCAGCCUCAACUCCAAACCAUUUGAGAUUGGGAAUCCCGGUUCCUCCUUGGAGAAGCAUAUAUAUUUUUGACUCGUAAUGAAGUUGAGGGUGCUUUGUCUUGACAGAUUCCAGCUUAAUGGCAACUUCUUCUCCAUUCUGUAUAUUCACACCUAAAUAAAGCUCACCAAAAGAACCACUCCCAAUCUUCCUUCCAAGCUUAAACCUCCCACUCACAACAUGAUCCAUGUUGAUUUCAAAAACCCCACUUAAGAAAUUUCACCAAAAACAACAAUUUCAACUGCCAAAAUAAUUAAUUCACUCAAAUUUUCAUCCACUUAGAUUGGUCAAAAAAUCCCAGCAAAUCCAACAAACAAAUUAACCCCAUCAAAAUUACUCAUACAUCUAUCCAAUUACCACCCCUAGAGAUCAAAAUCAAUUUAAAGUUC